rnacentral:rRNA from 1 species
AUGAAUUUGGCGGUGUUUUAGUCUUUUUAGAGGAACUUGGUUUUUANUCGAUAAUCCUCGUUUAUCUUACUUAUUUUGAUUUAGUUUGUAUAUCUCCGUUAUAAGUUUAUUUUUUUAGAAUUAUAAAUUUACUAGUUAUUGUAUUUAAUUUUAUUU